UCCCUGAUAGCUCAGUCGGUAGAGCGACGGACUGUUAAUCCGCAGGUCCCAGGU
rnacentral:tRNA from 1 species